CCCUUAGAUGUUCUGGGCCGCACGCGCGCUACACUGAUGCAUUCAACGAGUCUAAAACCUGGUCUGAUAGGGCUGGGUAAUCUUUUGAAAGUGCAUCGUGAUUGGGAUAGAUGAUUGCAAUUCUUCAUCUUCAACGAGGAAUGCCUAGUAAACGCAAGUCAUCAGCUUGCAUUGAUUACGUCCCCGCCCUUUGUACACACCGCCCGUCGCUCCUACCGAUUGAAUGAUCCGAUGAAUACCAUGGAUUGAGAGUACGAAUGGGUUCGCUCAUUUCUGCUGCUCGAGAAGUGGAGUAAAUCUUAUCAUUUAGAGGAAGGAGAAGUCGUAACA
rnacentral:rRNA from 1 species